ensembl:lncRNA
GGUGACAGAGAGAAAGACAUACAGUGAGAGAGAGAAAGACAGAGAGAGAGAGAGAGGGGGAGGUGACAGAGAGAAAGACAUACAGUGAGAGAGAGAAAGACAGAGAGAGAGAGAGAGGGGGAGGUGAGGUGACAGAGAGAAAGACAUACAGUGAGAGAGAGAAAGACAGAGAGAAAGACAGAGAGAGAGAGAGGGGGGGUGACAGAGAGAAAGACAUACAGUGAGAGAGAGAAAGACAGAGAGAGAGAGAGAGAGGGAGGUGACAGAGAGAAAGACAUACAGUGAGAGAGAAAGACAGAGAGAGAGAGAGGGGGGGGUGACAGAGAGAAAGACAUACAGUGAGAGAGAGAAAGAAAGACAGAGAGAGAGAGAGAGAGAGAGGGGGAGGUGACAGAGAGAAAGACAUACAGUGAGAGAGAGAAAGACCGAGAGAGAGAGAGAGGGGGGGGGUGACAGAGAGAAAGACAUACAGUGAGAGAGAGAAAGACCGAGAGAGAGAGAGAGAGAGAGAAAGACAGAGAGAGAGAGAGGGGGGGAGGUGACAGAGAGAAAGACAUACAGUGAGAGAGAGAAAGACCAAGAGAGAGAGAGAGGGGGGAGGUGACAGAGAGAAAGACAUACAGUGAGAGAGAGAAAGACAGAGAGAGAGAGAGAGAGAGAGAGAGAGAGGAGGUGACAGAGAGAAAGACAUACAGUGA